rnacentral:sRNA from 1 species
UGUUUGGAAUAAAUUGGUUGAUGUUCA